AGAUACAAAUGAAUGUGACAGCGAUCCCUGUGGGCCAAACUCCAGUGCCAAAAUACACAUGGAAGUUACGAAUGCGUCUGCAACGCUGGGUACGAAGCAGUCAACGGAACUUGUGCUGAUCUCAAUGAAUGUGAUUCGAGUCCUUGUGGUUCCAACGGCGUCUGCUCCAAUAGAGCCGGUAGUUUCAGCUGCAACUGCAGUGCGGGAUACGCUUUCAGUGGGGGAUCUUGUGUGGACAUCGAUGAAUGUUUGAGCAAUCCAUUGUCCCAAAUGUCUCCGUGUGCACGAACACUCCUGGAAGUUACCUGUGUCAGUGCCCUCCUGGUUACAACUUGACCUCAGGAGCUUGUGUUGG